CUUCACAGUUAUUUUCAAGCAUGCCUUCAAGCUGCAGUAAGUUCAUCAUCUGAAAUGCCAUGCUUACUCUAGUUCAAGACCACUAGCUGAGCUCAGCAGAGGCGAGCCUACCAAGAAGCUAAGCUGAGUAAAGGACAUGCCAGUGAUCUUUCGUAUUUUAUCAAAAUGUGAAUGUCUUAAGCACGUGAAAUCUUCACUAAUAUUAGAAGCUAUAAGAGUCAUAAACAGCAAUAAUGCUGUCAAGAAAUGCAUGACUUCAAGACUCUAUUUUUAAAGGACACUUACUUUGAAGUGUUUACAAGGAACCGCCAGAAGCUGGAAGAGGCAAGGAAGAACAUUUCCCUAGAGCCCUCAGAGGGAGCAUGGCUCUGCUGACACCUUGAUUCAGACCUCUGGCCUCCAGAAUGGUGAGAGAAUAUAUUUAUGUUGUUUUAAACCAAGUUCAUGAUAAUUUAUUAUGGCAG
rnacentral:lncRNA from 1 species